rnacentral:lncRNA from 1 species
UCCCAAAGUGUCACAAAGAGCCCAUUGUGGUGGGGGCAUGGAAUUGUGGACUCUUUGGAGUGACUGAGGAACCCCAUUUCACCCAUUCUUAGUUUGAAUUUUUCCUGUGGGGAGCUGGGGUAGUGUGGGAUCCAGGUGGAGUCUCAACCUCUCCCCUCAGUGACAGACUCAGAGGAGGGCGUGCAACUCCAGAGCUGGCUGAAACAAUGGAGAGAGAAGUAGGGGUUUUCUCCCAGAGAUGAGCUGUGAAGGUCCAGGGAAGACGACCAUUAUUCACAUGGCUGUCACCUGGGGAGAGACCCCAAGUUAAGAUCAAGAGAAAAAAGCAGGAAACAAAAUGGUGAAGACAACAAGCGGCAGCAGAUCCGGUGGAGUGUACCACGAAAGGCGCAGGACCCAAAGCGACGUUGUAACAAACCGCAAAUUCCUCUUCCGCCAAUGCACCUCAAGCCUCUCGCUGAGUCUGAGGACACAGGGAAAUCAUCAUAAAUGAAUCAGAAGGUCGGCAGUGAUGGUAAAGGGAGUCUUGGAUAAGUCAUGUGCUAGGUCAUGAGUGAUGUUGGCUGCAUUGGGGCCAGUAGCAUGAACAACCUCAGUCAAUAGGAAUAAAUACACAGAGCAGUGCUGCUC